GGGCGAUCCCCCGUGUAAGAGUGAGGUGGAGGAGGACAUUCCAGGAGAUGUCACCACAGAAAAUCCCAGCAAGAAUUCUAUGGGGAAUUUCAUGGUAUCACCGGAUUAUAAAGCAGGAGAUGAAGAUAUCAUGCAGCAUCCUUCAGGAGAAAGCUUGAAUGUGCUUCUAGGACUUCAUAGUACAGAUCUCUCGUAUAAUGCCCCUAAUCAUGAGGAACCUUCUCCUAGCCAGUCACAAAUUGUUACUACAAGUACAGAUCAGAAAGGGCUUCAGCGUAGGAAACGGUUCCGAAAAAGCUCAGUUCUUUCUACAGACAGAAGAAUUCACACAGGAGAGAAACCAUAUUCAUGUCCAGAAUGUGGGAAAUGUUUUACACAGAAAUCAAGUCUUGGUAGACAUAAGAAAAUUCACACAGGAGAGAAGCCAUAUUCCUGUUCAGAAUGUGGGGAAUGUUUUAUAGUUAAAUCACGUCUUAGUAUACAUAAGAGAAUUCACACGGCAGCAAAACCAUAUUCAUGUUCAGAAUGUGGGAAAAGUUUUAGAGAUAAAUCAUAUCUUAGUGUACAUGAGCGAGUUCACACCGGAGCAAAACCAUAUUCAUGUUCAGAAUGUGGGAAAUGUUUUACACAGAAAUCAAAUCUACUUAAGCAUCAUAGACUUCACAUGGAAGCAAAACCAUUUUCAAAUGUUUUGACAUAACAGGUUAUGACCUGAUCUUAAAUAGAUAAUCAGAGAGUUUAUUUUUUGGUUGGAGUUAUCCUGGCUCUCCCAGAUGACUAAAUUCUAUUUUUCUGAGGUCAACUGUGACCGAGAUUCAUGGAGGAAAAGUAUUGUGGAUAUAAGGAGGAGAAGAAGAGCCUUGUUUACUUCCAGAGCAGUGAAGAUGAGCUGUCCCCAUGAACGUUGCUUCUUUUCACUAUAUUCACACCUCCACCCACACUGCGGUAGAGUCCAGAGUGACAUGGGGAGAAGUAACGACGCUCCAUGUAAUAGUUUUAUAAUGUAUGUGGACAUAUUAAUAUUUCAUCUUCAUACAAACAGUUUUUACAGAUAAAAUAAACACUUCUAUUUGCUCCACGGCAGCAUUACCAUUGUCACUGACAGACAUUGUGUUCUUGGCUCGUAUUAUACUUUCUCCUAGUGAUGUGACCUUUAUUGCUCCUACAGACUAACCCUCCUGUGCGGAGACAGUGAUAUUGGUGGCAUGAUGACUAUAUCUGUCACGGACGUACUGAGACAUACGAAUGUCCCCGCGACAGUGAGUGGUAGGAGAUCUUUUAGACUGGCAACACAUGGUUUGAUUUGACAUGUUUACCUUGUGGAUCAAUAGGCGUCUGUGUUGUUUCUGGUACUAGCCACACCCUUAACUUCCAGGUGUUGCUAUUGUGGUCAUUUAGCUU